GUAGGGGGCAAGCGUUGUCCGGAUUUAUUGGGCGUAAAGAGCGUGUAGGCGGCUAGGUAGGUCCGUUGUGAAAACUCGAGGCUCAACCUCGAGACGCCGAUGGAAACCAUCUAGCUAGAGUCCGGAAGAGGAGAGUGGAAUUCCUGGUGUAGCGGUGAAAUGCGCAGAUAUCAGGAAGAACACCCGUGGCUAAGGCGGCUCUCUAGUACGGUACUGACGCUGAGACGCGAAAGCGUGGGGAGCGAACAGGAUUAGAUACCCUGGUAGUCCACGCCGUAAACGAUGGGUGCUAGGUGUGGGGGGUGUCGACUCCUUCCGUGCCGAAGCUAACGCAUUAAGCACCCCGCCUGGGGAGUACGGCCGCAAGGCUA
rnacentral:rRNA from 1 species